CAACUUUUAAUUAGCACUGUGGUGGCUGUACCAAGCUUGAAAGCCAUCUCGUGUCAUAGGGAUUGCAGCUUUUCCACUCGCAGAUAUCCAACUCAAACCAUAUCUGCCGAAAAGGUAGAUCUUUGAGCAUUUGGAACAUAUCACAUGGUGGGAUCAAAUAUAGUUGUUAUUCAGAGUGAACAGCCCCCCCUCAGAUGAGGGAUCCUCAGUGUGUCUGACCAUUCCACCAGAUAAUAUUGAAGACUUGAGGUGCAAUGGAAACGGUAAGUAUUGUAAUAACCUCAGACAUCUUUUAGUGAAAUUGCAUUGUACUGCUUACAGAAGUUCAGGGGUUAAUGAUUAUUCACCGAUGUGAUAGCAUGUCUCAUAGCAUCACUUUUUA